UUACAAAAUAGUAAGGACGAGUGAAAAGAACUUCAUAAACGAGGAAAAAGACCAACCCGCAGACCCACGGCGCGCACCACGGAGGUGCUUCCAGCGAGAAGACAGGGACCUCCGUUCCCAAGUGCCCAGCACUGCGCCACAGGCCGGGUGGAACGGGCCUUGAGGGCCUCUGGUUUGAGGUCCCCCACGGUCGGGCUUUGGGUCCACCGCGUGCGGCGCCGUGCUGGGCUCCUAGGAUCCGCAGCGAGUCCAGUGACUCCCACCGCACCCCCAGUAAUCACAGGGCGGCCGGCAACCGCGGGCAGGGGAGGGGGUCUGGGAAGGCCCCUGGAGAAGGUGGCAUUUCCUCGAGGUGACCAGAAGUCAGCAGCUUCCCAGAAGCCCCGAAGCCGGGGCAUCCUCCACUCACUCUUCUGCUGUGUCUGCCGGGAUGAUGGGGAGGCCCUGCCUGCUCACAGCGGGGCGCCCCUGCUUGUGGAGGAGAAUGGCGCCAUCCCUAAGACCCCAGUCCAAUACCUGCUCCCUGAGGCCAAGGCCCAGGACUCAGACAAGAUCUGCGUGGUCAUCGACCUGGACGAGACCCUGGUGCACAGCUCCUUCAAGCCAGUGAACAACGCGGACUUCAUCAUCCCUGUGGAGAUUGAUGGGGUGGUCCACCAGGUCUACGUGUUGAAGCGGCCUCACGUGGAUGAGUUCCUGCAGCGAAUGGGCGAGCUCUUUGAAUGUGUGCUGUUCACUGCUAGCCUCGCCAAGUACGCAGACCCAGUAGCUGACCUGCUGGACAAAUGGGGGGCCUUCCGGGCCCGGCUGUUUCGAGAGUCCUGCGUCUUCCACCGGGGGAACUACGUGAAGGACCUGAGCCGGUUGGGUCGAGACCUGCGGCGGGUGCUCAUCCUGGACAACUCACCUGCCUCCUAUGUCU
rnacentral:sRNA from 1 species